GUGGUGGGGGGGGCGUAUCGGCACCAGCAUGAGUUAAAAGAAGAAAAGACGAGGGGCUUUGUCCGCGAACAUUGAUCCGGCACCCUCGUGGUUGGACGGCGGCGUUCAAGGAGGUGGGCGGCCGCGUUGGGUCCAUGAAGGGCUCGCCGGAGAUGCCCGAUCGCGGCGCCAGCACGCGCACCACACCCUCGCGCUCCAGGAUGAAGAGGCGCUGCGUGCCGUCGCGGCUUGGCACAGCCCCCACUGGCUGCCGCAGCCUGUCCGCCACCAGCAGCAGGCACAAGCCCUCCCGCUGGCGCUUUCUGCGGGAAUAGCAUCAAGCCGCAACAGCCCACGCAGUCGCCUUCGCUCAGUCACUGACGGCUCAAGGGCCUCCAGUAGAGCGAGCUCCGGAGAGUCGCUCCGGAGCAGCGGGUCGGCAACCUGCGGCCCCGUGGCCGCAUGCGGCUCUUGAAGGACUUGCUUCGCGACCGUUAUCUAUUCGGGACCACCGACUCAUUCAUUCACGUGCAUUGCGGUUCUUGAAAUUGAGUUUUUUUUUUGUUUUAUAUCGAAUUCGAAAAAAGCCUCUCUCGUUCACGUGCAUUGCGGUUCUUGAAAUUGAGGUUUUUUUUAUAUCGAAUUCGAAAAAAAGCCUCUUGUUAAUUUGCUCUUAGAGGGUGGUGUUUUUGGCCCCCGCUCUUCCACGCUCGGCGCAUGCCACGUGCUGGUGCCUUCAUCGAUGCCUCUCCUGCUAAUCGCUUCCCGCGCAGCCGCAUGCCGCCGUUGAAUAAACUGGCAGCAUUUCUCUUUUUUUUUAUCCUGUAGCAUAAAGUGGCAUUUUUUUUUUAUUUUACAAAAAAAUGACACGAGCCAGCGAUCUGAAUUGUGCGACAUAUGUCGCGGUCAGGAGCUUCUGUUUGACGUCAACUUCACAUUGUAGAUAAUGUGGGGUGAAGGAUAUCACGAUAUAUGUCAUCCAAAUGCAUAUAUCAAAUACCUUCGUGGGAGAAGGGAAAUUUGUUUCUUGUACAUUCAGAUGCACAAUUGUAGUGGGCUUGAUUGAUGUCAUUGCCUUGAUUUUUCAACAUAUGAAAGUGUUGGAGUGUGAUGCAAUAUAAUGGUGCCCACUCAACCUUAAAGUGUUCUUCGUCAUUAAUGAAGCUUGAAAUUCA